UUUUGAACAAUAAGAGAUGAGGUGUAAAGGUUUCUUGGUUUGACAAGCGUUCGGCUAAAUUAUUAUUGAGUGAGUACUCAUAGAAGGUGGAAAGCCUGUAUAACUGAACAGCUUUGUUUAAACCGAGAUACUGAAGAGUCUAGUUGUUUGGGAGUACAACUUAAAGUUGGUGGUAAAUUUCAUCAAAGGCUAAAUAUAAGAAGGGACUAAUAGCGAACAAGUACCAUGAGGGAAAGUUGAAAAGAACUCUGACGAGAGAGUUAAAAAGUACGUGAAACCAUAUUGAGUAAAACAGAUAACUGUGUUGUUAUGCGGCGUGCCUAUCAACAGCAAAUUUGGCGUUGUGAUGCUAUUCGUAUAGGCUGAUUAUGCAGCUGAUUACGGGUGGUUAGCAUAGUUGAAUGUUCUGUGUAUUAGUGCGCGUCCUAUCAUUGAGAAACUAUGCCAUCAUAGCUUCGGUGCACACCAGUUCGCACUAUGUGCGUAGCUGUGUACUGGGUUUACUUGAAGGUGUCGUUUUGCUGUAGUGCAGCUGCGGUCACGUUUACUGAAUAUAGUUGCUUUGUCUGCGAUUUGGUUUAUUCCGAUUCGCGGUGAGUAUGCUGUAGUAGGUAAGUGGCCGUCAUCAAUGAUAAACAUUAGUUAUUUGACCCGUCUUGAAACACGGACCAAGGAGUUCAAAUGGCACGCGAGUCAUUGGGUUUAAUCACCCGAAGGCGAAGUGAAAUGCAAACGUAUUGUUAUUUGUGGUUGUUCCAUGAUUAAGCGAUAAGCUACUCAUGCUUUCUGGCAUUUGUAGACUACAAGCGUGAUGUUUGAGACCCGAAAGAUGGUGACCUAUGCCUAGUCAAGAUGAAGCCAGAGGAAACUCUGGUGGAUGUCUGAAGUUAUUCUGACGUGCAAAUCGAUAAUCUGAUCUGGGUAUAGGGGCGAAAGACUAAUCGAACCAUCUAGUAGCUGGUUCCUUCCGAAGUUUCCCUCAGGAUAGCAAGCGUACACUUUUAGUUUCAUCCCGUAAAGCGAAUGAUUAGAGGCAUUGGGGCAUAUAUAGCCUCAACCUAUUCUCAAACUUUUAAUGGGUGUGAGUGUUCUUUCUUAAUUGAAGAACGCUGCUAAAUAAGUAUGCUUAGUGGGCCAUUUUUGGUAAGCAGAACUGGCGCUGUGGGUUGAACCAAUUGUUGAGUUAAAGUGCCUAAAGCUGGAAUGCGCAUGAGAUCUGUAAAGGGUGUUAGUUGCUGAAGACAGCAGG
rnacentral:rRNA from 1 species